AUGCCAUCGCUGUUCCACGUGCUCACUCUGACAGUCCUUGGGGCAUCAUGUGUGUAUGGUGCAGGUCAUCUAGAGCAACCUCAACCCUCCAGUACCAAAAAGCUGUCAAAAACAGCCCGCCUGGAAUGUGUGCUAUCUGGUGUAACCAUUUCUAAAAUGUCUGUGUAUUGGUAUCAAGAAAGACCCGGUGAAGCCGUGCAGCACCUGCUACACAUUUCAUCUAACGACACCGUCAAAAGGGAAUCAGACGUUACACUGGGCAAGUUUGAGGCAGACAAGAAACCCGAAACUUCUACGUCGACCCUCACCAUUCACAAUGUACAGGAACAAGACGCAGCCACCUACUAUUGUGCCUUCUGGGAAGGUAAUCACGUCAAAGUGUUUGGUUCUGGAACACAGCUCAUUGUUACAGAUAGAAGCCUUGAUGUAGACAUGUCUCCCAAGCCCACUAUAUUUCUUCCUUCGAUUGAUGAAAUAAACCUCCAUGAGGCUGGAACACAUCUUUGCCUUCUCGAGAAUUUUUUCCCUGAUGUCAUUAAGGUCUAUUGGAAAGAAAAGAAUGGCAACAGAGUUCUGGAAUCCCAGCAGGGAAAUAUCAUCAAGACUAAUGAUACAUACAUGAAAUUCAGCUGGCUGACCGUGACUAAAAGGUCAAUGGAUAAUGAACACGUAUGUAUCGUCAAACACGAGAAUAAUAAAAGAGGAAUUGAUCAAGAGAUUCUUUUCCCUUCAGUUAACAAAGAGGUCACUACACAUGCCUGCGUGAAAAAAAGUAGUGAUUCCCUGCAGCUGCAGCUCAUGAACACCUGUGCCUGCUACACCUACCUCCUUCUGCUCCUCAAGAGCUUGGUCUACUUUGUCAUCAUCGCCUUCUGCGUGUGUAGAACAGCCGUCUGCGGCCAUGGGAAGAGCUCGUGA